UUACAAUGGCCGGUACAGAGGGAUGGUGUAAUGCAAAUUGCAUCAAAUCUUGAAAGCCGGUCCCAGUUCGGACUGGGGUCUGCAACCCGACCCCACGAAGCUGGAUUCGCUAGUAAUCGCGCAUCAGCCAUGGCGCGGUGAAUACGUUCCCGGGCCUUGUACACACCGCCCGUCAAGCCAUGAAAGCCGGGGGUGCCUGAAGUCCGUGACCGCAAGGAUCGGCCUAGGGCAAAACUGGUGAUUGGGGCUAAGUCGUAACAAGGUAGCCGUACCGGAAGGUGCGGCUGGAACACCUCCUUU
rnacentral:rRNA from 1 species